CCUACGGGUGGCAGCAGUGGGGAAUAUUGGGCAAUGGGCGCAAGCCUGACCCAGCAACGCCGCGUGAAGGAAGAAGGCUUUCGGGUUGUAAACUUCUUUUCUCAGGGACGAAGCAAGUGACGGUACCUGAGGAAUAAGCCACGGCUAACUACGUGCCAGCAGCCGCGGUAAUACGUAGGUGGCAAGCGUUAUCCGGAUUUACUGGGUGUAAAGGGCGGGUAGGCGGGAACGCAAGUCAGAUGUGAAAACCACGGGCUCAACCUGUGUCUUGCAUUUGAAACUGUUUUUCUUGAGUACUGGAGAGGCAGACGGAAUUCCUAGUGUAGCGGUGAAAUGCGUAGAUAUUAGGAGGAACACCAGUGGCGAAGGCAGUCUGCUAGACAGCAACUGACGCUGAGGCGCGAAAGCGUGGGGAGCAAACAGGAUUAGAUACCCUUGUAGUC
rnacentral:rRNA from 1 species